rnacentral:rRNA from 1 species
GGGGGGGCUAUACAUGCAAGUCGAGCGAAUGGAUUAAGAGCUUGCUCUUAUGAAGUUAGCGGCGGACGGGUGAGUAACACGUGGGUAACCUGCCCAUAAGACUGGGAUAACUCCGGGAAACCGGGGCUAAUACCGGAUAACAUUUUGAACCGCAUGGUUCGAAAUUGAAAGGCGGCUUCGGCUGUCACUUAUGGAUGGACCCGCGUCGCAUUAGCUAGUUGGUGAGGUAACGGCUCACCAAGGCAACGAUGCGUAGCCGACCUGAGAGGGUGAUCGGCCACACUGGGACUGAGACACGGCCCAGACUCCUACGGGAGGCAGCAGUAGGGAAUCUUCCGCAAUGGACGAAAGUCUGACGGAGCAACGCCGCGUGAGUGAUGAAGGCUUUCGGGUCGUAAAACUCUGUUGUUAGGGAAGAACAAGUGCUAGUUGAAUAAGCUGGCACCUUGACGGUACCUAACCAGAAAGCCACGGCUAACUACGUGCCAGCAGCCGCGGUAAUACGUAGGUGGCAAGCGUUAUCCGGAAUUAUUGGGCGUAAAGCGCGCGCAGGUGGUUUCUUAAGUCUGAUGUGAAAGCCCACGGCUCAACCGUGGAGGGUCAUUGGAAACUGGGAGACUUGAGUGCAGAAGAGGAAAGUGGAAUUCCAUGUGUAGCGGUGAAAUGCGUAGAGAUAUGGAGGAACACCAGUGGCGAAGGCGACUUUCUGGUCUGUAACUGACACUGAGGCGCGAAAGCGUGGGGAGCAAACAGGAUUAGUCCUUUUGUU